GUUCCUAUAGUUGAAUACAACGGUGGUUCUUCAAGUCACAGGUCUCGGUUAAAAUCCGGGUAGAAAUA
rnacentral:tRNA from 1 species